AUUGAACGCUGGCGGCAGGCCUAACACAUGCAAGUCGAACGGUAACAGGAAGCAGCUUGCUGCUUCGCUGACGAGUGGCGGACGGGUGAGUAAUGUCUGGGAAGCUGCCUGAUGGAGGGGGAUAACUACUGGAAACGGUAGCUAAUACCGCAUAAUGUCGCAAGACCAAAGAGGGGGACCUUCGGGCCUCUUGCCAUCGGAUGUGCCCAGAUGGGAUUAGCUUGUUGGUGGGGUAACAGCUCACCAAGGCGACGAUCCCUAGCUGGUCUGAGAGGAUGACCAGCCACACUGGAACUGAGACACGGUCCAGACUCCUACGGGAGGCAGCAGUGGGGAAUAUUGCACAAUGGGCGCAAGCCUGAUGCAGCCAUGCCGCGUGUAUGAAGAAGGCCUUCGGGUUGUAAAGUACUUUCAGCGGGGAGGAAGGGAGUAAAGUUAAUACCUUUGCUCAUUGACGUUACCCGCAGAAGAAGCACCGGCUAACUCCGUG
rnacentral:rRNA from 1 species